AUGAAGACGAAUUCUGGAACAUUGUUUGUUGAACCUUUCAAAUACCGCGCGAAGAUGAACGAACACCUCUUUGCAACAAAGGAACACGUGACUCCACGCUCACGCCAAGAUCCAGCGCAGCUUGCGCGCGCGUCACACGGCCUCCGGCCCACGCGCGCAGUUUUCAAAGGACCACGUGACAUCACACAACCCCCUCGGUGAUUGGACAGUCAUCUCAGGUAUCCAGUGAGCAAGGCUGCCCGACCGGUGUUACCGAUACUGGCUGCGAGUGAAACUCGGUCCCUCUUGUCUCAAGAGACAUCAGCAAUUUUGGCACUCCAAAGGUUGUGCUAAAAGUCACAAGCCGUGCUGUCCUGCGACACGCCAGAGUAACGGAGGACCGGGGACACUGCGGUUCAGUGUUUGGGGAGCACCGGGGAGGUUGACCAAGCCACUGGUUCCCACCUGAAUGACUUCAAUUCAACCAGGUGAACCAAAAGUGAUAAAACCUAUCCACUUAUUAUAAACCACAGAAUAUUAGAUAUUCCCCCGGAUAUAUUUUAAGUGUUCUGACCCUUUUGCUUCUUUAAGCCACACCAUAUUUCUAGGUUUCCUACCCAGAUAGCCCACUCACCUGUUGGCCCUAUCUUAAAACCUAGCAGUAGGCUUAGGCCUCCUUAUUCUCACUAACACGUUGUGUUUCUAUUGUUUUCAUCUCAUUUCAAGUGUUGUGUUUCACUUUGAUCUUUUUCUACCACCUGUUCUGUUGUGAUUUGUUUCUUUCAUUUCACAUAGAGACAGUAACCUGGGAGCCACCAACGAAGUUAAAUAGUAGAGCGACCACCAGCAGCCGGUGUCAUAACACGACCCGCUAGGCUACUGCCUGUCAAAUCUCCAUUUCAGGUCCUUCGUUGACCCAAGUUAAUUGGCUACUUAACUGUCUGACUGUUUGCAUCAGUCAGCCCCAAAAUUCUCAUAAACGGCACAGCCCGUAUGAAUAUAGCUCGUUAAACGUAGAACGAACUUGCAUUGGUCUUUUUGUGUGUGUGUGCUGUGCUUCU
rnacentral:lncRNA from 1 species